CUUCCCCCAAAAUGGAGAUGGAAGACAGCUCUCCUAUAACUCAGCUACAGAACUGCUUCUCUCAUGGUCUGCAACUCUUGGCUAAACUUACUUCCCAAGACCCUUCUCCUGUUCCUUCUCCCACCCCAAAACCAAUUCCAUCCCCAAAUAAAUCUCAUCCUUCUAACAAAACUGUUUCUAGUCAAACUGACUCACCCUUACCAAAUUCAACUAAAAGCCUUUUUCCUCUAAGAGAAGUACCUGAAAUAAAACACAAAUGGGAUGUGGUGACUCUAAGGCACCAUAUAUCGUUUACUCCCCAAGACAUAAAUUAAUUUCACAUGCAAAGUUCCCACAUAUGAACAAGAUCCCUUUAUGGUAACAAAAAAGAUGGCAGAUAUAUUUUUUCAGUAUAAUCCAUCUUACAAAGACAUUGAAAACUUACUCCAGGCUUUCUUAAUGGAACGUGAGAAAAAUAAAAUAAUUUCUCAUGUCAAUAAAGUCCAGAGGUGCAAUGCAGCACACUGGUCAUCUCAGGAUCCUGAAUGGGGCUAUAACAACUCUGAGAAUUAUUUACAACUAUAUUGUUGUAGGGAGACCAUUCUAACUGCUUUGAGAGAGUGCUCUGAAAGCACGGAUAAAUGGACAGAAUUUGAAAAACUUAAGCAAAAUGAGGAUGAGACACCCUCCAGAUUCAUGGAUAGGCUAAUUGAGUUUGGGGGUCGAUACCUAAAUUUUGACCUUUCUAAAGAAAAUUACAUAAAACAAAUUAGAAGACACUUUGACAAUAACUUUUGCAAAGUGAUCAGGGAUUAUUUUAGAACUCAUUGCCCAAGGUGGCCUGAAAAGGAUCUUGAUCAUUUGAGGAAAACUGUAGUAUAUGUUUCAAAAGGAAACAAAGAAAAAGAGGAAGAGACUAAUGAUCUCAUAGAGGCAAUGAAGAAAGAAUUGAAAUAUUUAAGAGAUAAGAAUGAUAACCAGGAAAAAGGGCAUGAUACUCAACCAAUGGCACUUGCCCCUCUCCAAGAAUCUAACUAUCAAUCCAUUACCUGCCACUUCUGUGACAAGAAGGGCCACAGAAUAAUGGAGUAUAGGAAUAAUAUGCAG
rnacentral:lncRNA from 1 species